ensembl:snoRNA SNORD26 Small nucleolar RNA SNORD26
CUGCGAGGAUGAUCUGGACUUUGAAUUCUCUCUUUCUGAUGCAUCAGUGGAGAAAGCCUUACGUCCUGAGCGGC